rnacentral:tRNA from 1 species
ACGUAGUCUAGUGGUAUGAUGGCCGCCUGCCACGCGGCCGGCCGGAGUUCGAUUCUCCGC